rnacentral:rRNA from 1 species
UACAGAGGUGGCAAGCGUUGUUCGGAAUCACUGGGCAUAAAGAGCACGUAGGCGGCUAAGUAAGUCGGAUGUGAAAUACCUCGGCUCAACCGAGGAACUGCGUCCGAUACUGCUUGGCUUGAGGUCCGGAGGGGAGAGUGGAAUUCCCGGUGGAGCGGUGAAAUGCGUAGAGAUCGGGAAGAACGCCGGCGGCGAAAGCGACUCUCUGGUCGGAAUCUGACGCUGAGGUGCGAAAGCUAGGGGAGCAAACGGG